AGGUUUUGAUUAGGAUUUGGUUUAGGUUUAGUAUUUUCUUAGAAUUUAGGAUUUAGGUUUUAUUUAGGAUUUACUUAGGAUUUUGUUAAGAUUUGGUUAGGAUUUAGAUUUGAACUAGGAUUUAGGGUUUGAUUUAGGAUUUGUAUAGGAUUGAAGAUUUAGGAUUUAGAAUUUGCUUAGGAUCAAAGAUUUGGUCUAAAGUUUGAUUGUAUUCCAUUAGAAUUUCAAUUAAGGUUAAAUUAGGACUUAGUUGA
rnacentral:lncRNA from 1 species